rnacentral:rRNA from 1 species
UAACGCGUAGGUAACCUGCCUGGUAGCGGGGGGUAACUAUUGGAAACGAUAGCUAAUACCGCAUGACAACAGUUAUUGCAUGAUAACUGUUUAAAAGGGGCAACUGCUCCACUACCAGAUGGACCUGCGUUGUAUUAGCUAGUUGGUGAGGUAACGGCUCACCAAGGCGACGAUACAUAGCCGACCUGAGAGGGUGAUCGGCCACACUGGGACUGAGACACGGCCCAG